UCUUACUUGCAAUCCUCCUGCCUCAGCCUCCCAAGGAGCUAGGAUUACAGGUGAGGCUGAACAUCAUGUUGCAAGACUGUGGCAGAGGAAAGCAGCUGGGAACAUGGCACCAGGAAACAGAGAAGGAAAUUUGGGCUCAGCUUUAUAGCACACAGUGCCAGAGACAUUCCCUAUGAUCAAUUCCUGCACCUUUAUUUCAUGCUACACCCCUCCAAUUUUCUCAGAUCACCCACCCUGGGAGAUGCCAGAUGCAGUGUUUUGAGGAUACUUCAGGCAGCCCUAUGGAUAGGUCCAGGUGGUGAUGAACCCAAGCUUCCUGUCAGUAGUCAUGUUGGCAGAUCCUCCUGCCCGAAUAAGCCUUCAGAUGAGUCCACAGUCCCAGCCACAUCCUGACUGCCAACCUCUUGAAGAACCAGCACCAGAAACAGCCAGAUAAGGCACUCAUGGCCCUCAGAAAAUGUGCCAGAGAUUUUCAAUCACUGAGUUUGGGAAUCAUUUGUUGUAUAGCAAUAGAUAACUGGUACAAACACUAGUGGUUAAAAUCAUUCAAUAAAACUUUAUAAAUUCAGGUGCCAUAGAAUAGCCAGUAGAGAGGGGGAUAUAUUUGGUUUUCUGCAGUGGAAAGAUCUUAAUAUUUAAGUUUGUGAACAGCCAUUAUUUGUACAGUAGUCCCCCUUAUCUAUGGAGGAUAUGUUCCAAGAUCCCCACUGGAUGCCUAAAACCUCAAUAGUGAGAACUCUGUAGAUACUAUUCUUUGGACUAUGUAUAUGUACUUGCGAUAAAGUUCAACUUAGGAAUUAGGUUAGUAAGAGAUGAACAAUAAUGAAUAAUAAAACAAUUCAA